rnacentral:rRNA from 1 species
UACGUAGGGUGCGAGCGUUAAUCGGAAUUACUGGGCGUAAAGCGUGCGCAGGCGGUUUUGUAAGCCAGAUGUGAAAUCCCCGGGCUUAACCUGGGAAUGGCAUUUGGGACUGCAAGGCUUGAGUGCGGCAGAGGAGACUGGAAUUCCUGGUGUAGCAGUGAAAUGCGUAGAUAUCUGGAGGAACACCGGUGGCGAAGGCGGCAUUCUGGACCGAUAUUGACGCUGAGGAGCGAAAGCCAGGGGAGCAAACGGG